rnacentral:rRNA from 1 species
AGAUUGAACGCUGGCGGCAGGCCUAACACAUGCAAGUCGAGCGGCAGCACGGGUACUUGUACCUGGUGGCGAGCGGCGGACGGGUGAGUAAUGCCUAGGAAUCUGCCUGGUAGUGGGGGAUAACGCUCGGAAACGGACGCUAAUACCGCAUACGUCCUACGGGAGAAAGCAGGGGACCUUCGGGCCUUGCGCUAUCAGAUGAGCCUAGGUCGGAUUAGCUAGUUGGUGAGGUAAUGGCUCACCAAGGCGACGAUCCGUAACUGGUCUGAGAGGAUGAUCAGUCACACUGGAACUGAGACACGGUCCAGACUCCUACGGGAGGCAGCAGUGGGGAAUAUUGGACAAUGGGCGAAAGCCUGAUCCAGCCAUGCCGCGUGUGUGAAGAAGGUCUUCGGAUUGUAAAGCACUUUAAGUUGGAGAAGGCAUUACCUAAUACGUAAGUGUUUUGACGUUACCGACAGAAUAAGCAACCGGCUAAACUCUGUGCCAGCA